AUGGUUUAGUGGCGACGGGUGAGUAACACGUGAGCAACCUACCUUUCAGAGGGGGAUAACAGUUGGAAACGACUGCUAAUACCGCAUAACGUUGUAAAAGGGCAUCCAUUUACAACCAAAAGAGAAAUCUGCUGAAAGAUGGGCUCGCGGCCGAUUAGAUAGUAGGCGGGGUAACGGCCCACCUAGUCAACGAUCGGUAGCCGGACUGAGAGGUUGAACGGCCACAUUGGGACUGAGACACGGCCCAGACUCCUACGGGAGGCAGCAG
rnacentral:rRNA from 1 species